rnacentral:lncRNA from 1 species
CGACGAGCAAGUAAGCAGUGUUAUAAAUAUUAAUGACUUCGAGCAAAUAAAUCGGACUAUUAAGUGUGUAAAUGGCAUUAAUUUUUGGCUCGCGAUAUUAGAUGCUCUUUCUGCUUGUUGUAUUUGUGGUAAAAGUGGUUCCUUGUGAAGACUGAAAGUCAAAAUUGGAGAGUUUUCAUACGCGAGUAUUGGACAUAUAUUUUAUACUUAUAUAUAGGGCUAUAUAUUUUCAAUAUUUUGAAAAAUCACGUACCAUACCAUGGAAUAAUGGAUUAAUGGUUUAUAUACAGUAGCGACGUUUAUAUGGACUAUGUGCUGACUAUUAGUAUCGACUGUAUUAAACUGGUAUGAAGUGUAUCAAGUUCAAACAGCAAAAAAUAUUAAAAAUGCCUGGCCAGC